rnacentral:rRNA from 1 species
GACGAACGCUGGCGGCGUGCUUAACACAUGCAAGUCGAACGGUUAGGCCCUUCGGGGUACACGAGUGGCGAACGGGUGAGUAACACGUGGGUGAUCUGCCCUGCACUUCGGGAUAAGCCUGGGAAACUGGGUCUAAUACCGGAUAGGACCACUGCCUGCAUGGGUGGUGGUGGAAAGCUUUUGCGGUGUGGGAUGGGCCCGCGGCCUAUCAGCUUGUUGGUGGGGUGAUGGCCUACCAAGGCGACGACGGGUAGCCGGCCUGGGAGGGUGACCGGCCAAGCUGGGACGGAGAUACGGCCCAGACUCCUACGGGAGGCAGCAGUGGGGAAUAUUGCACAAUGGGCGCAAGCCUGAUGCAGCGACGCCGCGUGAGGGAUGACGGCCUUCGGGUUGUAAGCCUCUUUCAGCACCGACGAAGCGCAAGUGACGGUAGGUGCAGAAGAAGGACCGGCCAACUACGUGCCAGCCGCCGCCGUAA